UGCGUGGGUUGGCUGCCGGGCAACCGGCGGCCGGCUCUAGCGGCGAACGGGUGAGUAACACGUGGGCAAUCUGCCCUGAAGAUGGGGACAACCUCGGGAAGCCGGGGCUAAUACCCGAUGCGCUCACCGGGCGGCAUCACCUGGUGAGGAAAUCCCGCAAGGGGCUUCAGGAUGAGCCCGCGGCGUAUCAGCUAGUUGGUGGGGUAACGGCCCACCAAGGCGAAGACGCGUAGCUGGCCUGAGAGGGUGGUCAGCCACACUGGGACUGAGACACGGCCCAGACUCCUACGGGAGGCAGCAGUUGGGAAUUUUGGGCAAUGGGCGCAAGCCUGACCCAGCGACGCCGCGUGGGGGAUGAAGGCCUUCGGGUCGUAAACCCCUGUCAGGAGGGAAGAAGCCCCGCAAGGGGUGACGGUACCUCCAGAGGAAGCCCCGGCUAACUACGUGCCAGCAGCCGCGGUAAGACGUAGGGGGCGAGCGUUGUCCGGGUUUACUGGGCGUAAAGCGCGUGUAGGCGGCCUGCUAAGUGGCGUGUGAAAGCUCACCGCUCAACGGUGAGAGGCCGCGCCAUACUGGCGGGCUUGAGGGUGGCAGAGGGUGAUGGAAUUCCCGGUGUAGCG
rnacentral:rRNA from 1 species